AUUGAACGCUGGCGGCAGGCCUAACACAUGCAAGUCGAGCGGAUGAAGGGAGCUUGCUCCUGGAUUCAGCGGCGGACGGGUGAGUAAUGCCUAGGAAUCUGCCUGGUAGUGGGGGAUAACGUCCGGAAACGGGCGCUAAUACCGCAUACGUCCUGAGGGAGAAAGUGGGGGAUCUUCGGACCUCACGCUAUCAGAUGAGCCUAGGUCGGAUUAGCUAGUUGGUGGGGUAAAGGCCUACCAAGGCGACGAUCCGUAACUGGUCUGAGAGGAUGAUCAGUCACACUGGAACUGAGACACGGUCCAGACUCCUACGGGAGGCAGCAGUGGGGAAUAUGGGACAAUGGGCGAAAGCCUGAUCCAGCCAUGCCGCGUGUGUGAAGAAGGUCUUCGGAUUGUAAAGCACUUUAAGUUGGGAGGAAGGGCAGUAAGUUAAUACCUUGCUGUUUUGACGGUACCAACAGAAUAAGCACCGGCUAACUUCGUG
rnacentral:rRNA from 1 species